ACGGAGAUAAUCUCAAAGUAAACAGCCCCCCCACCCCCCAAUGUAACAUAUGGUAGAAUUAAUAGCCUAGACACAUUUUGUUCGAUGGACUAUUUUCGGUAAAAAAGAAAAAAAAAAAGAAGGUGUCCAGCCGAGUGUGGUGCGGCAAACAUACGGCUCCACAGGUGACAGCAAGGUGAAACUGACCUUAUCCAACCAGACCGGUCUGCAUGACAGCAUAGCACCAGACUAAAGGACACAGAACACAUGCACAAGAAUAUGGGACUUGCACAGUGUAAACAGUCUUGGGCGUGUUGCAUAGAGGGCCGACAGCGUUCUGGGCCCCUGUCGCUCCUACAUAUGGACGUCAACUGCAAGUUGAUGAGGUGAGAGACAUCCUAAAGUUGUUGGGGUUCAAGUGACAGAGAGAGAGAAUGAUAGUAGCACUGACAGCUUCAGGUCAGACUAAUUUCAAAAGGGUUUGAGCAACUUUGAUUUAAAUUGUAAUGAAAAUUAUCAUAACUAACAUGGAACACAAUGUAAUUGCAUACAACAUUUCAUUCUUUGUUCCAAUCUGACCCAUUCUUUUCCACUGACCAACUUCCUAGUUUGAUAUAUGGUGUUUUAAGACAGCAGCUGUGAGGUGCAUAUUAGUGUCUUUAUAAGUGCUUUCACUCUGCAUUUGUAUCCAACACGUUUGUACAGAGUCAGAAUGAACGGUAGGAUAAUGAAGCUUUAGUAAACUUCAUGUUCUAUCUGUAAUGUUUAUGACAAACAUCGUUAUAGACCUUCAUUAAAACACAGCAAGUUGACAGUACAGCUGGCAAAUAGAAUUAUCUUUUAAUUCACUGUGGAUAAACUUGUAAACAACUUUGAGUAGCCGACCGAGUUAACUCUAAAUGUAUUGUCACAGAUCCUGAUCCUCCAAAUGGCCAAAAAUACCCGACUUUUCAUCCAGGUACUCUACAGUCAACAUUUAUAUUAAUAUGUGAAAAAGUGUUUAACUUCUGUGCACUUAAAACUACAUCAGUAUUCAAGUGUAUAGUAGUAAAACAAUUCUGUAAAAUAUCAAAUUAGGCUUCAUAGCCAUAGUUAGUCCUGCUUUUCAGACUGCAUGGGGGGUUUUCAGUCAUUUUAAGAGCAUAAUGAUGUGACGUAAUGUUUACCGUGGUGCUUUGUGGGUGAAUGGUGGGACGACAUAACACGCCAUUGCUACAAACAGUGGCAAGUUCAUUCGCACACCAAAAAGAUCUUUAAAAUGGUUUGUGUUAAUUGUUGCCUGUAUCAAGCGCACAAUGAACGCCAGAGCUGCAUUUUUUUUUUCCGGCAGGCGGCGGAAAUGGACAGGUUCAAUCAGAAAUAAGGCCAUCAAACCAUUUUUAAGAUCUUUGACAAUUUUUCCAUGCGAAUGAAUUUUAGUGUUACUUGUCACUGCUUGUCAGUGUCUUGCCCAAGUCGACAUGUGGAUUUGAACCUUCAACCUUCUGGUUGGGAGACGACUGCUCUACCCACUGCACCACUGUCUCCCCUAGACUAGUAUAUGACACUAGUCCUACACACUGAUGUUUCAUUAGGAAACAAGAUCUGUUUGUUUAAUAUCAUGGCCUCCAAAUGAUUCCUACAGCAUCUGUUUUAGCACAAAUGAAUAAGCCAAUUAAUUUCUCAUCCUCUCUGU